rnacentral:lncRNA from 1 species
AGACAGGCAGAUUUCUGGGUUCGAGGCCAGCCUGGUCUACAAAGUGAGUUCUGGGACAGCCAAGGCUAUACAGAGAAACCCUGUCUCGAAAAACAAAACAAAACAAAACAAAACAAAAACAAGAGGUCGGUGGUGUUGUAUAGCUUGUUUGGAAGUUGCCUCUGCUGUGAUUCCAAUCUUCUUAUUGCCCUCUUUCCCUUGAUUGCUAUAUUGCUGCUUCCUUUCUUUCUGCAUAUGGCAUGUAACAUUACAGGUUUCCACACUGAGAAUAUGGACGCCUCUAUAGGACAGCUCCCUAGAAUCUAGAUAUUUAUCUUUAGAGAGACUACUGAGUGGCUUGUAUCUUUAGAGUAAGAAACUUCCAUUCUUUGUUAGAGCUCUUUCCCUUGCCUCUACUACUCAGUAGAACCUCGUUCGUUCUGUGUGUAGGAAACAAAAUCAGUUAACACCACCCAAUCCUAGUCUUCUCCAAUGAGAGUGGGUAUGAAAUGGUUUCUGCCCCCUGGAUCCUGAGAUUAAAAUGUGCCACCACCGCCAGCCAGAUGAUGUUUAAAACAUCUAAUAUUUUAGUUUGAAAACAAUCUAGUAUUGAAAAGUAGGCUGUCUUAUCUUAGAAAUGAGAACUUUAGAAUUGCAACCAAAAGCCUUCCCAGUGUCCUUUUCUGAAUUAUUAUUUUUUUUUUUUUUUGGUUUUUUGAGACAGGGUUUCUCUGUGUAACUCUGGCUGUCCUGGAACUCACUUUGUAGACCAGGCUGGCCUCGAACUCAGAAAUCCGCCUGCCUCUGCCUCCCAAGUACUGGGAUUAAAGGUGUGCGCCACCACGCCCGGCUCCUUUUCUGAAUUUUGUAUAUAACUGUAUACUAUUCUGUGAGUGUGUACACAGACACACACACAUAUAUACUCUAUAUAUACACAUACUCUAUAGUAAAGAAGUUAGCUGGCUGGAUGUACAUACACACAUAUGUUAUAUGACUGCUGGCUGGAUGUAUAUACACACAUGUUAUAUGACUAUAUACUAUUAUAUAUAUCAGGUUGAAUGUUUGAUAUUUCAAGUCUAAGAGCUUUGAGUUGUUUUCUUUCAUUCCUUACCUCUUGCCCAUUUUCUUUUUGCCUUUUUAAUUCUUUACUUUCUUAAUUGUGUGACUUAAUUAAGCUUUUCUGAUAUCUUUUGUCAUAUCCUAUUUGACUUUCACUUAAAACUUUCCUAUAGGCUGGGCAUGGUGUGUACACCUUGAUUUCCAGUGGGUGGGAGGCAGAGUCAGUAGGAUUUCUGAGUUUGAAGCCAUCCUGGUCUACCUAGUAAGUUCCAGCCAGGGCUAUUUAGAGAGACAUUGUGUCACAAAAACUAAAAUAAAGAAAAAUAAGAUUUAAAAGAUUCCAUUAGACAGGGGUAGUGAGAUGGCCUUUGGCAGAACAGAAGCCUGGUCCGAGGCUGAUGGCCUGAACUCAGUUGCUGGCGCCCAUGUACGGGACAAGGAGAAAAGCCACUCCACAAACUUGACCUCAUAAGUGCCAUGGCAUGUGGCAUGUGCCCCCUCCUGAAUACAUCACAUGCUCCCCAUUCACGCACACACAGUUUUUAAAAAAUAUUUUUUCUUUUAAAUCUGGGGUCGGAGAGAUGGUUCAGCAGUUAAGAGUCUUGCCAGAUUUCUGUUUCCAGUAUUCCUGUGGUGGUUUACAACCACUCUAACCCUGUUUCAGGGGACUGAGUGCCCUUUUCUGGUCUCUGGGUAUCAGACAUGCACAUACAUACAUAAAAGCAAAAACAUUCAUACACAUAAAAUGAAAUCUUUUAGAUUCUUUUUGACAUUUUUGCAUUGAAUCAGUCUCCCUUGGAACAGAGUCAGGAAAUUAAUAAUUACCUUUGAAAAUACUAGGUUUGCUGGCUUUGUGGGAUAUGUCUGUAAUCCUAGCCUUUGGAAAAUAGAGAUAGGAGGAUCCAAAUUUGAGGCCAGUGUGGGUUACAUGGUGAGACCUUGUCUCUUCAGAA